rnacentral:rRNA from 1 species
UCGAGGGGUAUUUAUCUUCGGAUAGAGAGACCGGCGCACGGGUGCGUAACGCGUAUGCAAUCUACCUUUCACAGAGGGAUAGCCCAGAGAAAUUUGGAUUAAUACCUCAUAGUAUGCAGAGUUGGCAUCAACACUGCAUUAAAGUCACAACGGUGGAAGAUGAGCAUGCGUCCCAUUAGCUAGUUGGUAAGGUAACGGCUUACCAAGGCUACGAUGGGUAGGGGUCCUGAGAGGGAGAUCCCCCACACUGGUACUGAGACACGGACCAGACUCCUACGGGAGGCAGCAGUGAGGAAUAUUGGACAAUGGGCGCAAGCCUGAUCCAGCCAUGCCGCGUGCAGGAUGACGGUCCUAUGGAUUGUAAACUGCUUUUGCACAGGAAGAAACAACGCUACGUGUAGCGUCUUGACGGUACUGUGAGAAUAAGGAUCGGCUAACUCCGUGCCAGCAGCCGCGGUAAUACGGAGGAUCCAAGCGUUAUCCGGAAUCAUUGGGUUUAAAGGGUCCGUAGGCGGUUUGGUAAGUCAGUGGUGAAAGCCCAUCGCUCAACGGUGGAACGGCCAUUGAUACUGCCAGACUUGAAUUAUUAGGAAGUAACUAGAAUAUGUAGUGUAGCGGUGUAAUGCUUAGAGAUUACAUGGAAUACCAAUUGC